rfam:Vibrio hepatarius strain DSM 19134 contig0003, whole genome shotgun sequence.
GCGCCCUUAGCUCAGCUGGAUAGAGCACGUCCCUUCUAAGGAUGUGGUCAUUGGUUCGAAUCCAAUAGGGCGUG